GGUAGCAUAAUCACUUGCCCAUUAAUUGUGGGCUAGAAUGAAAGGACUAACGAAAUAAAAACUGUCUCUAUAAGUGACAUAAAAAUUAAUCUCUAACUGAAGAUUGUUAGAUAUCGUCGAAGGACAAGAAGACCCUAUAGAGCUUUAUUUUAAUAAAUAACUAUAAUUUAUAUAAAUUCGGUUGGGGCGACCAGGGAAAUUAAAUAUCAUCCCUUAAUAGCAGAUAAUUCAAUCACACACUUGACCCUUUACCAAAGAUCAUCAAAACAAGCUACCUUAGGGAUAACAGGCUAAUCCCACUAAAGAGUCCUUAUCAAUAGUGGGGUUUGGNAC
rnacentral:rRNA from 1 species